GACGAACGCUGGCGGCGUGCCUAAUACAUGCAAGUCGAGCGAAUGGAUUAAGAGCUUGCUCUUAUGAAGUUAGCGGCGGACGGGUGAGUAACACGUGGGUAACCUGCCCAUAAGACUGGGAUAACUCCGGGAAACCGGGGCUAAUACCGGAUAACAUUUUGAACCGCAUGGUUCGAAAUUGAAAGGCGGCUUCGGCUGUCACUUAUGGAUGGACCUGCGUCGCAUUAGCUAGUUGGUGAGGUAACGGCUCACCAAGGCAACGAUGCGUAGCCGACCUGAGAGGGUGAUCGGCCACACUGGGACUCGGACACGGCCCAGACUCCUACGGGAGGCAGCAGUAGGGAAUCUUCCGCAAUGGACGAAAGUCUGACGGAGCAACGCCGCGUGAGUGAUGAAGGCUUUCGGGUCGUAAAACUCUGUUGUUAGGGAAGAACAAGUGCUAGUUGAAUAAGCUGGCACCUUGACGGUACCUAACCAGAAAGCCACGGCUAACUACGUGCCAGCCGCCGCCGUAA
rnacentral:rRNA from 1 species